rnacentral:rRNA from 1 species
CUACGUGCCAGCAGCCGCGGUAAUACGUAGGUCCCGAGCGUUAUCCGGAUUUAUUGGGCGUAAAGCGAGCGCAGGCGGUUAGAUAAGUCUGAAGUUAAAGGCUGUGGCUUAACCAUAGUACGCUUUGGAAACUGUUUAACUUGAGUGCAGAAGGGGAGAGUGGAAUUCCAUGUGUAGCGGUGAAAUGCGUAGAUAUAUGGAGGAACACCGGUGGCGAAAGCGGCUCUCUGGUCUGUAACUGACGCUGAGGCUCGAAAGCGUGGGGAGCAAACAGGAUUAGAUACCCUGGUAGUCCACGCCGUAAACGAUGAGUGCUAGGUGUUGGGUCCUUUCCGGGACUCAGUGCCGCAGCUAACGCAUUAAGCACUCCGCCUGGGGAGUACGACCGCAAGGUUGAAACUCAAAGGAAUUGACGGGGGCCCGCACAAGUGGUGGAGCAUGUGGUUUAAUUCGAAGCAACGCGAAGAACCUUACCAGGUCUUGACAUCCCUCUGACCGCUCUAGAGAUAGAGCUUUC